UAAGAAACAUAGAUCUCUGUGGGGGAUGUGUAUCACAACGUCAAGGGCGGGAGGCGAAUGGCCGCACCUCCGUGACUCCGGAGAAGGAGAAAGCUCCUCCGAAAAUCCAUACAAAAUUAAGGGUGAAGUCAAACUGACCCUGGGAAAUUAAAAACGGAACGAAAACCCACAGGUGAGUCCGGCUGGGGGGACGGAACCGAGAGUGUGGCGGGGCCGGGCUGUGCACAUGCAGCGGGCGUGAGGGCGUGGCACAUGCAUGGGCGGUGAGCGCGUGGCCGGACAGCGGCCGGCCGGCCGGACGGCGGCCGCGCCACGGAUGGGGCUGGCGGGGCCGCCGCCCCCCCGGGAGCCGAGUGACCCGAGGGGGUUCUGCUCUUUGUCACGCUCGGGGGUACGGACGGGCGGAUGGAGGGGGGCGAUGGCGCCGGGCUGGACAACGGAAAAAUAUCGACAGCUCGGGGCGGGGGAAAAAACCCCCUUCGGAAGCGGGGGGAAAAGAAAAGGAAAAGUGUCUCCCUUUGUACAGCGGAAAAACCCGAGUGGUGGAGAAGCCAUGAGAGGAAUCACAGUUACCGCCGCGGCCCGGGGGCGGCGUGGCCGGGGGGCGGCACGGCCGAGGGGUUGGCGUGGCCGAGCCGUGGUCAAGGGGUCGGCGUGGCCAAGAGGCCAAGCGGUGGUCAAAGGGUCAGCACGGCCGAUGAGUUGGCAUGGCCGAGCUUUUGGCGUGGCCGAGGGGCCGGCACGGCCGAGGGGUUGGCACGGCCGAGGGGUGGUCAAGGGCUUGGCAUGGCUGAUGGGCUGGCGUGGCCGAGGGUCGGCACGGCCAGUGGGUUUGCCUGGCAAAGGGGUGGUGAAGGGCUUGGUGUGGCCGAGGGCUUGGCAUGGCCAAGGGGUCAACACGGCCACCGGAUUGGCACGGCCGAGGGGUUGGCGUGGCCGAGGGGUGGUCAAAGGCUUGGCACGGCCAAUGGAUUGGCAUGGCCAAGGGGUUGGUGUAGCAAGGGGAGCAAAGGGUCGGCACGGCCGAUGGGUUGGCAUGGCCAAAGGAUCAACGUGGCCGAUGGGUUGGCACGGCCAAAGGGCCGAGGGGUGGUCAAGGGGUCGGCACGGCCGAGGGGCUGGCAUGGCCGAAAGAUUGGCACGACCAAAGGGCUGAGGCGCGGUCAAGGACUUGGCACAGCCAAUGGAUUGGCGUGGCCGAGGGGUCGGUGUGGCCGAGGGGUCGGCACAGCCGAUGGGUUGGCGUGGCCGAGGGGUCGGUGUGACCCCAGGAUUGGCGUGGCCGAGGGGUCGGUGUGGCCAAAGGUUUGGCAUGGCCGAUGCGUCGUUGUGACCGAGGGGUCAGCGUGACCCAGGGGCUGGCGGAGCCGGGGGGUGACCGAGGGGUCAGCACGGCCGAUGGGUGGGCGUGGCCGAGGGGUCAGUGUGACCAGGGGUCAGCGUGGCCAGGCCGGGGUCAGGGGUCAGCUGGGCGCCCGCUCUGCCUUCUCCCGGAUGGCUUUUCCAAAGGCAAGGUGGCCCUGGCUCUGGGGGUGUCCGGAGCGGGGACGGGAGCCGGGGACACCGGGAAUCGCUCCGUCCCCGCAGGAAGGGCUGGCAGCGCUUCGGGAACGGCCGCGGCACCGGACCGCGGCCGAGGGGCACCGCGGGGUCCCGGCGGUGGCACCGCAGGGGUGAC
ensembl:lncRNA